AAAAUCAUGCAAAUUCAAUACAUUGCAUAAGCCACGUAGGCCU
rnacentral:ncRNA from 1 species